rnacentral:lncRNA from 1 species
CAAAUCUCUAAUUGUUUCUGGAACAUUGAUGCUGCAAUCAACUUUUAUUGAAUUUGGGAGAAAACUAAGGAUGAGAGUGAUACAAAGGUCGCUUCACUUGCAUUUCUCAAUGUCUACUAUGUGUUGAACUGUAAAGAAGAACAAGCAAGGGCCAUUGAAUGUAGAAGGGGACACAGCUGAAUAAACAGGGAAUUUGAAAUUGUUACA